rnacentral:rRNA from 1 species
AUUGAACGCUGGCGGAAUGCUUUACACAUGCAAGUCGAACGGUAGAGGGGGCAACCCCCUUGAGAGUGGCGAACGGGUGAGUAAUGUAUCGGAACGUGCCCCAGUCGUGGGGGAUAACGUAGUGAAAAUUACGCUAAUACCGCAUACGAUCUAUGGAUGAAAGCGGGGGAUCGCAAGACCUCGCGCGAUUGGAGCGGCCGAUAUCAGAUUAGGUAGUUGGUAGGGUAAAGGCCUACCAAGCCAACGAUCUGUAGCUGGUCUGAGAGGACGACCAGCCACACUGGAACUGAGACACGGUCCAGACUCCUACGGGAGGCAGCAGUGGGGAAUUUUGGACAAUGGGCGAAAGCCUGAUCCAGCCAUUCCGCGUGCAGGAUGAAGGCCCUCGGGUUGUAAACUGCUUUUGUACGGAACGAAAAAGGGUUUUCCAUUAAUACUGGGGACUCGAUGACGGUACCGUAAGAAUAAGCACCGGCUAACUACGUGCCC